UACAGAGGGGGCAAGCGUUGUUCGGAAUUACUGGGCGUAAAGGGCGCGUAGGCGGCCUUCUAAGUCAAACGUGAAAUCCCCGGGCUCAAUCCGGGAACUGCGUCCGAGACUGAAAGGCGUGAAUCCGGGAGAGGGAUGUGGAAUUCCAGGUGUAGCGGUGAAAUGCGCAGAUAUCAGGAAGAACACCCGUGGCGAAGGCGGCUCUCUGGGACGGUACUGACGCUGAGACGCGAAAGCGUGGGGAGCGAACAGG
rnacentral:rRNA from 1 species